rnacentral:rRNA from 1 species
GUGAGGAAUAUUGCGCAAUGGAGGCAACUCUGACGCAGCCAUGCCGCGUGCAGGAAGAAGGCGCUACGCGUUGUAAACUGCUUUUAACCGGGAAGAAACCCCAGGACGUGUCCUGGGUUGACGGUACCGGAGGAAUAAGCACCGGCUAACUUCGUGCCAGCAGCGGCGGUAAUACGAAGGGUGCAAGCGUUAUCCGGAUUCAUUGGGUUUAAAGGGUGCGUAGGCGGAGCGUUAAGUCAGUGGUGAAAUCCUGCAGCUUAACUGUAGACUUGCCAUUGAUACUGGCGCGCUUGAGUGCGCUUGAAGUGGGCGGAAUGUGCCGUGUAGCGGUGAAAUGCUUAGAUAUGGCACAGAACACCAAUUGCGAAGGCAGCUCACUAAGGCGAUACUGACGCUGAGGCACGAAAGCGUGGGGAUCGAACAGGAUUAGAAACCCGGGUAGUCC